UACCUUCCACAGCAGUGCUGCCACAAAAUCUUGUUUUGACUGCAACUUCGCAACCACCACCUCAACGAGAGCCACAGGCGCCUCCUCGAAGUUCGGAGAAGAGAUUAACUCAUCAAAAUCGCCUUAGGGCCCAACAUCCGGCUAGGCGGCAAUCUCCAAGCCCACAGUCGAGCCAUAACUCAACCCCCGAACGUCGAUCUCCUCUGCGCUCUAAGGCUGGUACCGUCCAUGAAGUUGACUUUGAAAGACAGUUCCAGGAACUCGAUCAGUAGUUGGGCUAGAAAAUUAAAAAGGCCCUCAACAAUAAUGGCUCCUCGGUGCUCUCCUACGAAGA
rnacentral:lncRNA from 1 species